rnacentral:rRNA from 1 species
AGAGUUUGAUCAUGGCUCAGAAUCAACGCUGGCGGCGUGCCUCAGACAUGCAAGUCGAACGCGAAAGUCCCCUUCGGGGGACGAGUAGAGUGGCGCACGGGUGAGUAACACGUGGAUAAUUUGCCUUCGGGUGGGGAAUAACGUCUCGAAAGAGACGCUAAUACCGCAUAAUGCAGCGGCAUCUAUGAUGACAGUUGUUAAAGCGGGGGAUUCGCAAGAACCUCGCGCCUGAAGAGAAGUCCGCGGCAGAUUAGCUAGUUGGUAGGGUAAUGGCCUACCAAGGCGACGAUCUGUAGCCGGCCUGAGAGGGCGGUCGGCCACACUGACACUGACAUACGGGUCAGACUCCUACGGGAGGCAGCAGUCGGGAAUUUUGGGCAAUGGGCGAAAGCCUGACCCAGCAACGCCGCGUGAAGGAUGAAGUUUUUCGGAAUGUAAACUUCACAAGAAUGGGAAGAAUAAGUUGAAGCUAAUACCUUCGACGAUGACGGUACCAUUUGUAAGCUCCGGCUAACUCCGUGCCAGCAGCCGCGGUAAUACGGGGGGAGCAAGCGUUGUUCGGAUUUACUGGGCGUAAAGGGCGCGUAGGCGGCGCAACAAGUCACUUGUGAAAUCUCCGGGCUCAACUCGGAACGGUCAAGUGAUACUGUCGUGCUAGAGUGCAGAAGGGGCGACUGGAAUUCUCGGUGUAGCGGUGAAAUGCGUAGAUAUCGAGAGGAACACCUGUGGCGAAGGCGGGUCGCUGGGCUGACACUGACGCUGAGGCGCGAAAGCUAGGGGAGCGAACGGGAUUAGAUACCCCAGUAGUCC